rnacentral:lncRNA from 1 species
CUGGUUUGUUCCCACCUCAGCUGGUUACUAGCCAUGUAUCCUUAAGCAAGUCACUAAGCUUUACUGAGGCUGAAUAUCCACUUCCAUAAAAUGAGAUUAAUGUUGCUUGCUUCAAGGUAUCCUUAUAAGGAUUAAGCCUGGUAACUUGGCUAAAUAUCCCAUACAAUGCCUGGCUCAUGAGUGGUAUUUAAGUAUUGACAGAAUGGCAGAAAGUUAAAAUAAAAUUAUUUAAGUCUCAGUUUCAUAAAGGUCCCAAUAUAAUAGAUGCUACCUUCCAAUGGGGAAGCAAGAGAAGACAGUGCUGUGUCUGCAAGAGAAGGUGGCAGAAAUAAGUUUUGGGCCCUUGCCUCCCACCCAGAGUCCAUCAGGCUUCUUCCGGAAAGGACAAGAAGGCAAGAGGGAGUAAAAGAGCCAUGUGGAGAAAGAAAAGGGGAGCCCACUACGAACUCCCUCAGAGUGCAGGUGGCCAGCGGGUGGUGAGCCCAGAUCCAGGAAAGGGAUGUAGCUGCACCCUUGAAUGAAGCUGAAGUUUUGCUUGUUUUGCUGGAACAGACAAGCUGCUUCUUGGUGACCUCUAUGUACAGCCAGAAGAGGUAUAAGGCUAACCCUGAAUAUAAUCCAGGAGCAGAGCAUGACCAUCCCGAUAGAAUAUAUGUGGGGUAUACAACUUAAGAUGCUUUGUAUCCAGUCCAAACUGGGCCAGUAAUGCUCUGCGGCGUCAUAGGUAUUGAACUUUCAUCUACUGAAACACAUUUCAGUGGAAAUCUCCAUUCCUCAAACAUCACUAUUUGGUUAUAAAAAAAAAAAAUAGCACCCAGGGGCACCUGGGUGGCUCGAUCGGUUAAGCGUCCAACUGUUGAUUUCAGCUCAGGUCUUGAUCUCAUGGUUUGUGAGCUCAAGCCCUGCCUCGGGCUCUCUGCUGGCAGUGUGGAGCCUUCUUGGGAUUCUCUGUCUCCCUCUCUCUCUGCCUCUUUAUCUCUCUCUCUCAAAAUAAAUAAAUAAAUAAACAUAAAAAAAAAACA